AACACUGUUAACCUGCGGUACCUGCGGAGGGAUCAUUACCGAGUUUACAACUCCCAAACCCCUGUGAACAUACCAAUUGUUGCCUCGGCGGAUCAGCCCGCUCCCGGUAAAACGGGACGGCCCGCCAGAGGACCCCUAAACUCUGUUUCUAUAUGUAACUUCUGAGUAAAACCAUAAAUAAAUCAAAACUUUUAGCAAUGGAUCU
rnacentral:misc_RNA from 1 species